CACUCCUGCGGGAGGCAGCAGUGGGGAAUUUUGGACAAUGGGCGAAAGCCUGAUCCAGCAAUGCCGCGUGAGUGAAGAAGGCCUUCGGGUUGUAAAGCUCUUUUGUCAGGGAAGAAACGGUGAGAGCUAAUAUCUUUUGCUAAUGACGGUACCUGAAGAAUAAGCACCGGCUAACUACGUGCCAGCAGCCGCGGUAAUACGUAGGGCGCAAGCGUUAAUCGGAAUUACUGGGCGUAAAGCGUGCGCAGGCGGUUUUGUAAGUCUGAUGUGAAAUCCCCGGGCUCAACCUGGGAAUUGCAUUGGAGACUGCAAGGCUAGAAUCUGGCAGAGGGGGGUAGAAUUCCACGUGUAGCAGUGAAAUGCGUAGAUAUGUGGAGGAACACCGAUGGCGAAGGCAGCCCCCUGGGUCAAGAUUGACGCUCAUGCACGAAAGCGUGGGGAGCAAACAGGAUUAGAAACCCGAGUAGUCCCA
rnacentral:rRNA from 1 species